rnacentral:rRNA from 1 species
CAGCCGCCACGGGAAUACGGAGGGUGCAAGCGUUAAUCGGAAUUACUGGGCGUAAAGCGCACGCAGGCGGUCUGACAAGUCAGAUGUGAAAUCCCCGGGCUUAACCUGGGAACUGCAUUUGAAACUGGCAAGCUAGAGUCUCGUAGAGGGGGGUAGAAUUCCAGGUGUAGCGGUGAAAUGCGUAGAGAUCUGGAGGAAUACCGGUGGCGAAGGCGGCCCCCUGGACGAAGACUGACGCUCAGGUGCGAAAGCGUGGGGAGCAAACAGGAUUAGAGACCCCUGUAGUCCCUGUCUCUUAUAC